CCUACGGGUGGCAGCAGUGGGGAAUAUUGCACAAUGGGCGCAAGCCUGAUGCAGCCAUGCCGCGUGUGUGAAGAAGGCCUUCGGGUUGUAAAGCACUUUCAGCGGGGAGGAAGGCGGUGAGGUUAAUAACCUCAUCGAUUGACGUUACCCGCAGAAGAAGCACCGGCUAACUCCGUGCCAGCAGCCGCGGUAAUACGGAGGGUGCAAGCGUUAAUCGGAAUUACUGGGCGUAAAGCGCACGCAGGCGGUCUGUCAAGUCGGAUGUGAAAUCCCCGGGCUCAACCUGGGAACUGCAUUCGAAACUGGCAGGCUAGAGUCUUGUAGAGGGGGGUAGAAUUCCAGGUGUAGCGGUGAAAUGCGUAGAGAUCUGGAGGAAUACCGGUGGCGAAGGCGGCCCCCUGGACAAAGACUGACGCUCAGGUGCGAAAGCGUGGGGAGCAAACAGGAUUAGAACCCGAGUAGUC
rnacentral:rRNA from 1 species